AAUAUUUUCGAGGAAUACAACCCCAUGCCAAUGGAAUACUGUUUGGAAAUGGAAAAUUACAGACAUAUAGUGACAAUCCUUUGAAGUCAUGAAUAUACAAGAGCAUGAAUAAGAGAAGAAAAGAUGGAAGAUAAAAAGCAGAAGGGUGCUGGAGAUAUAAUGGUGAAUAAUGUUGCAAUAUGCCCAGUCUUCAUGGAAUCAACAGUCCAGUGGGGAAGGCAGAUAAGUGAGCAUAUUCCUUCUACUUACAGAAAAAGUCAACUGUAAAACAGCCUCAGGCAGGUCUUUCAGGAGAUAUUCCAGAAGGCAUUGUUAUCAUACAAAAUGAUAGCUCCAUGAGUAUCAUUUUCCCUGAAGACCAGUGGGACAAGAUGAGGAGAUGGAAGACAGUGAUAUGGAUGAUCCUGAACCUGAGACUGUAUAGGCCUAGGCUAAUGCAUGUGUUUGUGUCUUCGUUUUUAACUAAAAGCUUAAAAAGUAAGAAAAAUAAAAAUAAAACAUUUGAAAAUACAAAAAUCAUAUAGAAUUAAGGACAUAAGAAUAUUUUCGAACAGCUGUACAAUGUAUGUGUGUUUUAAGCUAAAUGUUAUUGCAAAAGAGCCAAAAGUUUUUUUAAAAAGUUUA
rnacentral:lncRNA from 1 species